rfam:Schistosoma haematobium scaffold409_21, whole genome shotgun sequence.
AUCCAGCUGACGAGUCCCCAUUAGGACGAAAUGCGCGUCCUGGAU